UACAGAGGGUGCGAGCGUUAAUCGGAAUUACUGGGCGUAAAGCGUGCGUAGGCGGCUUUGCAAGUCGGGUGUGAAAUCCCCAGGCUUAACCUGGGAACCGCAUUCGAGACUGCAUUGCUAGAGUAUGGGAGAGGGAAGUGGAAUUUCCGGUGUAGCGGUGAAAUGCGUAGAUAUCGGAAGGAACAUCAGUGGCGAAAGCGACUUCCUGGACCAAUACUGACGCUCAUGUGCGAAAGCGUGGGGAGCAAACAGG
rnacentral:rRNA from 1 species